GACGUAGGGGCCGAGCGUUGUCCGGAGUUACUGGGCGUAAAGGGCGCGCAGGCGGCCGGUCGCAUCGGCGGUGAAAGCCCCCCGCUCAACGGGGGAGGGUCCGUCGAGAUGGAUCGGCUGGAGGCAGGGAGAGGGCGGUGGAAUUCCGGGUGUAGUGGUGAAAUGCGUAGAGAUCCGGAGGAACACCAGUGGCGAAGGCGGCCGCCUGGACCUGACCUGACGCUGAGGCGCGAAGGCGUGGGGAGCGAAC
rnacentral:rRNA from 1 species